rnacentral:rRNA from 1 species
AGAGAGAGUUCAAGAGUACGUGAAACCGCAUAGAGGCAAACGGGUGGAUCCGCGGAGUCGACCCGGGGAAUUCAGCCUGGCCGCUUGGGGCCCACUGGGGAGCGCAGGAUCCGUUACAGGACCGACUCUCCGUGUGGCGCUUCUUCGUCGGCCGGGUGCACUUUCUCCGAUGUCGAGUGCCACGACCGGUUCUGCGGUGGUCAGAAGCCCGGCGGCAAGGUAGCUCCGCUCCUCGUGGGCAGAGUGUUACAGGCCGUCGAGGUGGACACAUUGCGGGACCGAGGACGCUUGCCGCGUCGCUGGAUUUCGGGCCGUCACUGGUAGUUCGAUGUCGGACGCACUGCUUCGCAGAGCUUCGUAACCGCUGCCUGCUUGUACGGGCCCGUGUGUCCACGGCGCCUCGGGUCUGUGGCGAAUCGGUCGGUCCUCCACCCGACCCGUCUUGAAACACGGACCAAGGAGUCUAACAUGUGCGCGAGUCAUGGGGUCUUACGAAACCCAAAGGCGCAAUGAAAGUAAAGGCCUCCUCCGGAUGGCCCAGGCAAGAUCCCGCCGUCUCGUGCGGCGGGCGCACUGCCGGCCCGUCUCGACGGCAUCGUCCGCGAGGCGGAGCAAGAGCGCACACGUUGGGACCCGAAAGAUGGUGAACUAUGUCUGAGUAGGGCGAAGUCAGAGGAAACUCUGAUGGAGGCCCGCAGCGAUUCUGACGUGCAAAUCGAUCGUCAAACUUGGAUAUAGGGGCGAAAGACUAAUCGAA